ACCGGAAGUAGAUAACACCGGCGGCUACCAUAGACUGUGUGGGCGGCCACAGCGGCGAAACUUUGCAGGCUAACAACAAAAACAGACUUUGGAAACCUUUUUCUUGGGACCCUUUGACUACAUAGCAGUCGGGACAUGCCAACAUGCCGCAGUACCUCAAUAAAUAAGUUGGCAAGAAGGCGAAUGCAACAAGCGAGGAAAAUCAAGAUCCUUCCGGGCUAAUUAAGCUAACACCUGAGCCAGGUGCAGCCUUCACCUUCCCCAUAACAACCGACUGCUUCUGUCGCUGUGCCGGGACUGAUUUCAGUCAAACCAAACUGAGUCUAUAUCCAGCGUCACCCAGCCCCAUUUUAUAAAGAGAGGAUCCAGUAAGUGCAGAUGACCUGAAGACCUGCAACAGGAAUACUGUUGAAUUAUCCUGAGAUGAUAACAACCGACGACCUCAAACACUUUCCUCAGUCCUCAACAGUCACCCUGUCCCUGCCGCUGAAAAAGACCCCCAUAGCAUGAUGUUGUCUCCACCAUGCUUCACCAUGGGGAUGGUAUUGAUCAGGUGAUGAAUGGUCCCUGGUUUCCUCUAGACAUAACACUUAAAACUGAGACCAAACGGUUUAAUCUUGGUUUCAUCAGACCAGAGAUCUUGUUUUUUUUUUUUUUUUUUUAAACAAACUUUCACUGAGAAGAUGUUUCCAUCUGGUCACUCUAUCACAAAGCCCAGAUUGAGAUGCAGUGAUGGUU